AUUGAACGCUGGCGGCAGGCCUAACACAUGCAAGUCGAACGAGUGGCGGACGGGUGAGUAAUUUCUGGGAAACUGCCUGAUGGAGGGGGAUAACUACUGGAAACGGUAGCUAAUACCGCAUACCAUCGGAUGUGCCCAGAUGGGAUUAGCUAGUGGGUGGGGUAAAGGCUCACCUAGGCCACGAUCCCUAGCUGGUCUGAGAGGAUGACCAGCCACACUGUAAUGGAGACACGGUCCAGACUCCUAAGGGAGGCGGCAGUGGGGAAUAUUGCACAAUGGGUGCAAGCCGGAUGCAGCCAUGCCGCGUGUAUGAGGAAGGCCUUCGGGUUGUAAAGUACUUUCAGCGGGGAGGCGGUACCCGCAGAAGAAGCACCGGCUAACUCCGUGCCAGCAGCCGCGGUAAUAC
rnacentral:rRNA from 1 species